rnacentral:rRNA from 1 species
GCAGUCGACGGUAGCACAGAGAGCUUGCUCUCGGGUGACGAGUGGCGGACGGGUGAGUAAUGUCUGGGAAACUGCCUGAUGGAGGGGGAUAACUACUGGAAACGGUAGCUAAUACCGCAUAACGUCGCAAGACCAAAGAGGGGGACCUUCGGGCCUCUUGCCAUCAGAUGUGCCCAGAUGGGAUUAGCUAGUAGGUGGGGUAACGGCUCACCUAGGCGACGAUCCCUAGCUGGUCUGAGAGGAUGACCAGCCACACUGGAACUGAGACACGGUCCAGACUCCUACGGGAGGCAGCAGUGGGGAAUAUUGCACAAUGGGCGCAAGCCUGAUGCAGCCAUGCCGCGUGUAUGAAGAAGGCCUUCGGGUUGUAAAGUACUUUCAGCGGGGAGGAAGGUGUUGUGGUUAAUAACCGCAGCAAUUGACGUUACCCGCAGAAGAAGCACCGGCUAACUCCGUGCCAGCAGCCGCGGUAAUACGGAGGGUGCAAGCGUUAAUCGGAAAUUACUGGGCGUAAAGCGCACGCAGGCGGUCUGUCAAGUCGGAUGUGAAAUCCCCGGGCUCAACCUGGGAACUGCAUUCG